rnacentral:rRNA from 1 species
GGUUAAGCGACUAAGCGUACACGGUGGAUGCCCUGGCAGUCAGAGGCGAUGAAGGACGUGCUAAUCUGCGAUAAGCGUCGGUAAGGUGAUAUGAACCGUUAUAACCGGCGAUUUCCGAAUGGGGAAACCCAGUGUGUUUCGACACACUAUCAUUAACUGAAUCCAUAGGUUAAUGAGGCGAACCGGGGAACUGAAACAUCUAAGUACCCCGAGGAAAAGAAAUCAACCGAGAUUCCCCCAGUAGCGGCGAGCGAACGGGGAGGAGCCCAGAGCCUGAAUCAGUGUGUGUGUUAGUGGAAGCGUCUGGAAAGGCGCGCGAUACAGGGUGACAGCCCCGUACACAAAAAUGCACAUACUGUGAGCUCGAUGAGUAGGGCGGGACACGUGGUAUCCUGUCUGAAUAUGGGGGACCAUCCUCCAAGGCUAAAUACUCCUGACUGACCGAUAGUGAACCAGUACCGUGAGGGAAAGGCGAAAAGAACCCCGGCGAGGGGAGUGAAAAAGAACCUGAAACCGUGUACGUACAAGCAGUGGGAGCACGCUUCGGCGUGUGACUGCGUACCUUUUGUAUAAUGGGUCAGCGACUUAUAUUCUGUAGCAAGGUUAACCGAAUAGGGGAGCCGAAGGGAAACCGAGUCUUAACUGGGCGUUAAGUUGCAGGGUAUAGACCCGAAACCCGGUGAUCUAGCCAUGGGCAGGUUGAAGGUUGGGUAACACUAACUGGAGGACCGAACCGACUAAUGUUGAAAAAUUAGCGGAUGACUUGUGGCUGGGGGUGAAAGGCCAAUCAAACCGGGAGAUAGCUGGUUCUCCCCGAAAGCUAUUUAGGUAGCGCCUCGUGAAUUCAUCUCCGGGGGUAGAGCACUGUUUCGGCAAGGGGGUCAUCCCGACUUACCAACCCGAUGCAAACUGCGAAUACCGGAGAAUGUUAUCACGGGAGACACACGGCGGGUGCUAACGUCCGUCGUGAAGAGGGAAACAACCCAGACCGCCAGCUAAGGUCCCAAAGUCAUGGUUAAGUGGGAAACGAUGUGGGAAGGCCCAGACAGCCAGGAUGUUGGCUUAGAAGCAGCCAUCAUUUAAAGAAAGCGUAAUAGCUCACUGGUCGAGUCGGCCUGCGCGGAAGAUGUAACGGGGCUAAACCAUGCACCGAAGCUGCGGCAGCGACACUGUGUGUUGUUGGGUAGGGGAGCGUUCUGUAAGCCUGUGAAGGUGUACUGUGAGGUAUGCUGGAGGUAUCAGAAGUGCGAAUGCUGACAUAAGUAACGAUAAAGCGGGUGAAAAGCCCGCUCGCCGGAAGACCAAGGGUUCCUGUCCAACGUUAAUCGGGGCAGGGUGAGUCGACCCCUAAGGCGAGGCCGAAAGGCGUAGUCGAUGGGAAACAGGUUAAUAUUCCUGUACUUGGUGUUACUGCGAAGGGGGACGGAGAAGGCUAUGUUGGCCGGGCGACGGUUGUCCCGGUUUAAGCGUGUAGGCUGGUUUUCCAGGCAAAUCCGGAAAAUCAAGGCUGAGGCGUGAUGACGAGGCACUACGGUGCUGAAGCAACAAAUGCCCUGCUUCCAGGAAAAGCCUCUAAGCAUCAGGUAACAUCAAAUCGUACCCCAAACCGACACAGGUGGUCAGGUAGAGAAUACCAAGGCGCUUGAGAGAACUCGGGUGAAGGAACUAGGCAAAAUGGUGCCGUAACUUCGGGAGAAGGCACGCUGAUAUGUAGGUGAAGCGACUUGCUCGUGGAGCUGAAAUCAGUCGAAGAUACCAGCUGGCUGCAACUGUUUAUUAAAAACACAGCACUGUGCAAACACGAAAGUGGACGUAUACGGUGUGACGCCUGCCCGGUGCCGGAAGGUUAAUUGAUGGGGUUAGCGCAAGCGAAGCUCUUGAUCGAAGCCCCGGUAAACGGCGGCCGUAACUAUAACGGUCCUAAGGUAGCGAAAUUCCUUGUCGGGUAAGUUCCGACCUGCACGAAUGGCGUAAUGAUGGCCAGGCUGUCUCCACCCGAGACUCAGUGAAAUUGAACUCGCUGUGAAGAUGCAGUGUACCCGCGGCAAGACGGAAAGACCCCGUGAACCUUUACUAUAGCUUGACACUGAACAUUGAGCCUUGAUGUGUAGGAUAGGUGGGAGGCUUAGAAGUGUGGACGCCAGUCUGCAUGGAGCCGACCUUGAAAUACCACCCUUUAAUGUUUGAUGUUCUAACGUUGACCCGUGAUCCGGGUUGCGGACAGUGUCUGGUGGGUAGUUUGACUGGGGCGGUCUCCUCCUAAAGAGUAACGGAGGAGCACGAAGGUUGGCUAAUCCUGGUCGGACAUCAGGAGGUUAGUGCAAUGGCAUAAGCCAGCUUGACUGCGAGCGUGACGGCGCGAGCAGGUGCGAAAGCAGGUCAUAGUGAUCCGGUGGUUCUGAAUGGAAGGGCCAUCGCUCAACGGAUAAAAGGUACUCCGGGGAUAACAGGCUGAUACCGCCCAAGAGUUCAUAUCGACGGCGGUGUUUGGCACCUCGAUGUCGGCUCAUCACAUCCUGGGGCUGAAGUAGGUCCCAAGGGUAUGGCUGUUCGCCAUUUAAAGUGGUACGCGAGCUGGGUUUAGAACGUCGUGAGACAGUUCGGUCCCUAUCUGCCGUGGGCGCUGGAGAACUGAGGGGGCUGCUCCUAGUACGAGAGGACCGGAGUGGACGCAUCACUGGUGUUCGGGUUGUCAUGCCAAUGGCACUGCCCGGUAGCUAAAUGCGGAAGAGAUAAGUGCUGAAAGCAUCUAAGCACGAAACUUGCCCCGAGAUGAGUUCUCCCUGACUCCUUGAGAGUCCUGAAGGAACGUUGAAGACGACGACGUUGAUAGGCCGGGUGUGUAAGCGCAGCGAUGCGUUGAGCUAACCGGUACUAAUGAACCGUGAGGCUUAACCUU